GUACAAACAUAAUACCUUGCGGAGAAGAUCCUUUCUUUUAAGAAAGUAAAGACAUGAAAAUCUCUAAUAAAGCUAUUCCAAGUCACAUACUGAUGACACCAGUGUCGGUAAUGGCAUCUCUGGAAGUGUCGGUGUACAGGCAUUUCCUGACAUGCACGAAAUCUCCACAAAUACCGGAAUACCAGAAAUAACCAUCUCUUAAUUCUUUGUUUUUUAUAAUGAUUGAAUGUGGUGCAGGCAAGUUAUGUACUGAAAAUUGAACACUAUUAAGAUUGAGACAGGCUGUUAAAGAUAUUUAAGACCUGUUGUAAUGACAUAGUGAACUAAUUAUUUGAUGCAACAAAAUGAAAAUAACUCUUCAUUACUAGUACUGUAUUGAUAAAUAAAACAUUUUUUAAUUUUGAA